GCGGAUCAGWAAGUUGGGGUGAAAUCCCKGKGCUCAACCUCDDDACUGCCUCUDAAACUCCUGGCUUGAGUUCGAGAGAGGUGAGUGGAAUUCCGAGUGUAGAGGUGAAAUUCGUAGAUAUUCGGAGGAACACCAGUGGCGAAGGCGGCUCACUGGCUCGAUACUGACGCUGAGGUGCGDAAGUGUGGGGAGCAAACAGGAUUAGAUACCCUGGUAGUCCACACCGUAAACGAUGAAUGCCAGURGUCGGCAAGCAURSUDGUCGGUGACACACCUAACGGAUUAAGCAUUCCGCCUGGGGAGUACGGDDGCAAGAU
rnacentral:rRNA from 1 species